GCGCGAAAACUUUACAAUGCGGGAAACCGCGAUAAGGGGACACUGAGUGCCAGUACCAUGUACUGGCUGUCCGCAUGUAUAAAUCACAUGUGUCAGCAAGGGCCGGGCAAGACCGGUGCCAGCCGCCGCGGUAACACCGGCGGCCCGAGUGGUGGCCAUUAUUAUUGGGUCUAAAGGGUCCGUAGCCGGUUUGAUCAGUCUUCCGGGAAAUCUGACAGCUCAACUGUUAGGCUUCUGGGGGAUACUGUCAGACUUGGAACCGGGAGAGGUAAGAGGUACUACAGGGGUAGGAGUGAAAUCUUGUAAUCCUUGUGGGACCACCAGUGGCGAAGGCGUCUUACCAGAACGGGUUCGACGGUGAGGGACGAAAGCUGGGGGCACGAACCGGAUUAGAUACCCGGGUAGUCCCAGCCGUAAACGAUGCUCGCUAGGUGUCUGGGAUGGUGCGACCGUUUCAGGUGCCGCAGGGAAGCCGUGAAGCGAGCCACCUGGGAAGUACGGCCGCAAGGCUGAAACU
rnacentral:rRNA from 1 species